GCCAGACGGGCGCGUGCGGCGUGGGUAUCAGGUAUGGUGCGAGGGGUGUGUGAGAUGAGGUGGCGGAAAGGGCGCCGUGGGGGUGUGGUGAGGCGGGAGGGAAAUCCGCCAGCUUAACUGGGGGCUUGCUUUGGAUACGGGCAGACUUGGGGGACUCAGGGGAGAAUGGAAUUCCUGGUGUAGCGGUGAAAUGCGCAGAUAUCAGGAGGAACACCGGUGGCGAAGGCGGUUCUCUGGGAGUUAACUGACGCUGAGGAGCGAAAGUGUGGGGAGCGAACAGGAUUAGAUACCCGGGUAGUC
rnacentral:rRNA from 1 species